GGGCCGGCUGGGCAAACGGGGGGCGUGUCCGGCGCCUUGGCGGCGCCGGACACGCCCGAGCGGUCAUUGUUCCGGUCGCUACCGCUGCA
rnacentral:tRNA from 1 species